rnacentral:rRNA from 1 species
CCUACGGGAGGCAGCAGUGAGGAAUAUUGGUCAAUGGCCGCAACUCUGAACCAGCCAAGUAGCGUGCGGGAUGACGGCCCUAUGGGUUGUAAACUGCUUUUAUCGGGGGACAAACUGAGUCACGUGUGACUUAUUGCAAGUACCGCAUGAAUAAGGACCGGCUAACUCCGUGCCAGCAGCCGCGGUAAUACGGAGGGUGCGGGCGUUAUCCGGAUUUAUUGGGUUUAAAGGGUGCGCAGGCGGAGGUGCAAGUCAGCGGUAAAAUUGAGGGGCGCAACCUCGUACUGCCGUUGAAACUGCGGCUCUGGAGUGCGCGAGAGGUACGCGGAAUGCGUGGUGUAGCGGUGAAAUGCAUAGAUAUCACGCAGAACUCCGAUUGCGAAGGCAGCAUACCGGCGCGCAACUGACGCUGAUGCACGAAAGCGUGGGGAUCGAACAGGAUUAGAUACCCCUGUAGUC